GGGGCCGUAGCUCAGUUGGGAGAGCGCUAGCAUGGCAUGCUAGAGGCCACGGGUUCGACUCCCGUCGGCUCCACCA
rnacentral:tRNA from 1 species